rnacentral:rRNA from 1 species
CCUCUUAUGUGUUGGAUCGUGUGAUUCAUAUAUCGAAGAAAAACGCAUCUAGCUGCUUUAUAUACCAAAAAUUGCUUAAAAAGUGAGUGGUAAAAUUUUAAACGCAUAGCCCCACGGGUUUUACUCUGUGGCACCCGUGGUUCGGUGUUGUA